rnacentral:rRNA from 1 species
ACGAACGCUGGCGGCGUGCCUAAUACAUGCCAGUCGAACGCUUCUUUCCUCCCGAGUGCUUGCACUCAAUUGGAAAGAGGAGUGGCGGACGGGUGAGUAACACGUGGGUAACCUACCCAUCAGAGGGGGAUAACACUUGGAAACAGGUGCUAAUACCGCAUAACAGUUUAUGCCGCAUGGCAUAAGAGUGAAAGGCGCUUUCGGGUGUCGUUGAUGGAUGGACCCGCGGUGCAUUAGCUAGUUGGUGAGGUAACGGCUCACCAAGGCCACGAUGCAUAGCCGACCUGAGAGGGUGAUCGGCCACACUGGGACUGAGACACGGCCCAGACUCCUACGGGAGGCAGCAGUAGGGAAUCUUCGGCAAUGGACGAAAGUCUGACCGAGCAACGCCGCGUGAGUGAAGAAGGUUUUCGGAUCGUAAAACUCUGUUGUUAGAGAAGAACAAGGACGUUAGUAACUGAACGUCCCCUGACGGUAUCUAACCAGAAAGCCACGGCUAACUACGUG